AAGUGCAUUGCCGGGCAAAUCUCCCUUGGCAAUGUGCCUUACUGUUCUGCAUAAAUGAGCUUAAUUAGCCCAAAUUAUUCGAAUUAGUCAGUGAGUAACUGCCCGAGGAGUGAUUGCCCAGUUAUGCAUUU
rnacentral:miRNA from 1 species